rnacentral:rRNA from 1 species
AUUGAACGCUGGCGGCAUGCUUUACACAUGCAAGUCGAACGGCAGCACGGGGGUAACCUUGGUGGCGAGUGGCGAACGGGUGAGUAAUAUAUCGGAACAUAUCCGGAAGUGGGGGAUAACGUACCGAAAGGUACGCUAAUACCGCAUAUGCCCUGAGGGGGAAAGGAGGGGAUCGUAAGACCUUUCGCUUUCGGAGUGGCCGAUAUCGGAUUAGCUAGUUGGUAAGGUAAAGGCUCACCAAGGCGACGAUCCGUAGCUGGUCUGAGAGGACGACCAGCCACACUGGAACUGAGACACGGUCCAGACUCCUACGGGAGGCAGCAGUGGGGAAUUUUGGACAAUGGGGGAAACCCUGAUCCAGCCAUGCCGCGUGAGUGAAGAAGGCCUUCGGGUUGUAAAGCUCUUUCAGCCGGAAAGAAAGCGCACAGGUUAAUACCUUGUGUGGAUGACGGUACCGGAAGAAGAAGCACCGGCCAACUACGUGCCAGCCGCCGCAGUAACAC